GGUAGUUUAGCUUAAUCGGUCUAAGAGCACCGCAACGCGUAAUUACGGAGGUGUGAGUUCGAGUCUCAUAGCUGGCC
rnacentral:tRNA from 1 species